rnacentral:rRNA from 1 species
GGGACCUUCGGGCCUUGCGCUAUCAGAUGAGCCUAGGUCGGAUUAGCUAGUUGGUGGGGUAAUGGCUCACCAAGGCGACGAUCCGUAACUGGUCUGAGAGGAUGAUCAGUCACACUGGAACUGGGACACGGUCCAGACUCCUACGGGAGG